GGUUUGCCCGGCUGUUGGCCGGGUUUGCCCGGUUGCUGGCCGGGCUGCCCCGGUUGACCGGGUUCCAUCCCCGGUUGCCCC
rnacentral:tRNA from 1 species